GCGGAUGUGGUGAAUGGUUCACAGCUGCUGUCAGUCACGCGCAGACUCUCGACUUUGAAGCAGCACAACUGGGUUCGAUUCCCGGCAUCCGCG